rnacentral:rRNA from 1 species
CCUACGGGUGGCUGCAGUCGAGGAUCUUCGGCAAUGCGCGCAAGCGCGACCGAGCGACGCCGCGUGGGCGAUGAAGGCCUUCGGGUUGUAAAGCCCUGUCGAGGGGGAGAAAAGGGUAAAACUUUGAUCCAUCCCUGGAGGAAGCUCGGGCUAAGUUCGUGCCAGCAGCCGCGGUAAGACGAACCGAGCGAACGUUGUUCGGAAUCACUGGGCUUAAAGGGCGCGUAGGCGGGCUGCCAAGUUUGGGGUGAAAUCCUCCGGCUCAACCGGGGAAG